AGUGUGCGCCCCGGAAGCCGGAAGCGCCUGACGGCAGCUUUCCGGUGGUGGGAAAGUGAACGAAUCCCGAAUCAAAGCGGCGCAUUGAGGCAGGUGGGGUGCCAGUGGAAGAGGGAAGGCAGGCGAGUGUUUACGGCCUGACUUGGGAGGCCGGCGGAUCAGCAAUUGCAGAAGCAGGCAGCGGCAGAGAGGGAAUGGUGCAGGCAGGCGCUGAGAAGGAGGCGCAGUCCAUCUCUCUCAGGGUUAGUGAAUGAGGCUCUCCGCCCGGGCCGGCCCGGGGACAGUGCGCUGCUGGUCCCAGCAUGAAUGCGGGCCCCGGCUGUGAACCCUGCACCAAGCGACCCCGCUGGGGCGCCGCUACAACUUCGCCGGCUGCUUCGGACGCCCGGAGCUUUCCCAGCAGGCAGAGGCGCGUCCUCGACCCCAAGGACGCUCACGUGCAGUUCAGGGUCCCACCGUCCUCGCCAGCCUGCGUCCCAGGGCGGGCGGGACAGCACAGAGGCAGCGCCACCUCGCUUGUUUUCAAACAAAAGACUAUUACCAGUUGGAUGGACACUAAAGGAAUCAAGACAGCGGAAUCAGAAAGUUUGGAUAGUAAAGAAAACAACAAUACAAGAAUAGAAUCCAUGAUGAGUUCUGUACAAAAAGAUAACUUUUACCAACAUAAUGUAGAAAAAUUAGAAAAUGUUUCUCAGCUAAGUCUUGAUAAGUCACCCACUGAAAAAAGUACACAGUAUUUGAACCAGCAUCAGACUGCAGCAAUGUGUAAGUGGCAAAAUGAAGGGAAACACACGGAGCAGCUUUUGGAAAGUGAACCUCAAACAGUAACCCUGGUACCAGAGCAGUUUAGUAAUGCUAACAUUGAUCGGUCACCUCAAAAUGAUGAUCACAGUGACACAGAUAGUGAAGAGAAUAGAGACAAUCAACAGUUUCUCACAACUGUAAAGCUUGCAAAUGCAAAGCAGACUACAGAAGAUGAACAGGCCAGAGAAGCCAAAAGCCACCAGAAGUGCAGCAAGUCUUGCGAUCCUGGGGAAGACUGUGCAAGUUGUCAGCAAGAUGAGAUAGAUGUGGUGCCAGAGAGUCCAUUGUCAGAUGUUGGCUCUGAGGAUGUUGGUACUGGGCCAAAAAAUGACAACAAAUUGACUAGACAAGAAAGUUGCCUAGGAAAUUCUCCUCCAUUUGAGAAGGAAAGUGAACCCGAGUCACCGAUGGAUGUGGAUAAUUCUAAAAAUAGUUGUCAAGACUCAGAAGCAGAUGAGGAGACAAGUCCAGGUUUUGAUGAACAAGAAGAUGGUAGUUCCUCCCAAACAGCAAAUAAACCUUCAAGGUUCCAAGCAAGAGACGCUGACAUUGAAUUUAGGAAACGGUACUCUACUAAGGGCGGUGAAGUUAGAUUACAUUUCCAAUUUGAAGGAGGAGAGAGUCGCACUGGAAUGAAUGAUUUAAAUGCUAAACUACCUGGAAAUAUUUCUAGCCUGAAUGUAGAAUGCAGAAAUUCUAAGCAACAUGGAAAAAAGGAUUCUAAAAUCACAGAUCAUUUCAUGAGACUGCCCAAAGCAGAGGACAGAAGAAAAGAACAGUGGGAAACCAAACAUCAAAGAACAGAAAGGAAGAUCCCUAAAUACGUUCCACCUCACCUUUCUCCAGAUAAGAAGUGGCUUGGAACUCCCAUUGAGGAGAUGAGAAGAAUGCCUCGGUGUGGGAUCCGGCUGCCUCUCUUGAGACCAUCUGCCAAUCACACAGUAACUAUUCGGGUAGAUCUUUUGCGAGCAGGAGAAGUUCCUAAACCUUUUCCAACACAUUAUAAAGAUUUGUGGGAUAACAAGCAUGUUAAAAUGCCUUGUUCAGAACAAAAUUUGUACCCAGUGGAAGAUGAGAAUGGUGAGCGAACUGCGGGGAGCCGGUGGGAGCUCAUUCAGACUGCACUUCUCAACAAAUUUACACGACCCCAAAACUUGAAGGAUGCUAUUCUGAAAUACAAUGUGGCAUAUUCUAAGAAAUGGGACUUUACAGCUUUGAUCGAUUUCUGGGAUAAGCUUUCGAACCUCUGAUUUGGAGUUCAGUGGAAAUUUAACCUUUUUGGACCUCUUCCCUUGGUGACUCACAGUCUCUGGAAUCAUAAGGUACUUGAAGAAGCAGAAGCUCAACAUUUAUAUCAGUCCAUCUUGCCUGAUAUGGUGAAAAUUGCACUCUGUCUGCCAAAUAUUUGCACCCAGCCAAUACCACUCCUGAAACAGAAGAUGAAUCAUUCCAUCACAAUGUCGCAGGAACAGAUUGCCAGUCUUUUAGCUAAUGCUUUCUUCUGCACAUUUCCACGACGAAAUGCUAAGAUGAAAUCGGAGUAUUCUAGUUACCCAGACAUUAACUUCAAUCGAUUGUUUGAGGGACGUUCAUCAAGGAAACCGGAGAAACUUAAAACGCUCUUCUGCUACUUUAGAAGAGUCACAGAGAAAAAACCUACUGGGUUGGUGACAUUUACAAGACAGAGUCUUGAAGAUUUUCCAGAAUGGGAAAGAUGUGAAAAACCCUUGACACGAUUGCAUGUCACUUACGAAGGUACCAUAGAAGAAAAUGGCCAAGGCAUGCUACAGGUGGAUUUUGCAAAUCGUUUUGUUGGAGGUGGUGUAACCAGUGCAGGACUUGUGCAAGAAGAAAUCCGCUUUUUAAUCAAUCCUGAGUUGAUUAUUUCACGGCUCUUCACUGAGGUGCUGGAUCACAAUGAAUGUCUAAUUAUCACAGGUACUGAGCAGUACAGUGAAUACACAGGCUAUGCUGAGACAUAUCGUUGGUCCCGGAGCCACGAAGAUGGGAGUGAAAGGGACGACUGGCAGCGGCGCUGCACUGAGAUCGUUGCCAUCGAUGCUCUUCACUUCAGACGCUACCUCGAUCAGUUUGUGCCUGAGAAAAUGAGACGCGAGCUGAACAAGGCUUACUGUGGAUUUCUCCGUCCUGGAGUUUCUUCAGAGAAUCUUUCUGCAGUGGCCACAGGAAACUGGGGCUGUGGUGCCUUUGGGGGUGAUGCCAGGUUAAAAGCCUUAAUACAGAUAUUGGCAGCUGCUGCAGCUGAGCGAGAUGUGGUUUAUUUCACCUUUGGGGACUCAGAAUUGAUGAGAGACAUUUACAGCAUGCACAUUUUCCUUACUGAAAGGAAACUCACUGUUGGAGAUGUGUAUAAGCUGUUGCUACGAUACUACAAUGAAGAAUGCAGAAACUGUUCCACCCCUGGACCAGACAUCAAGCUUUAUCCAUUCAUAUACCAUGCUGUCGAGUCCUGUGCAGAGACCGCUGACCAUUCAGGGCAAAGGACAGGGACCUGAGGAGCCGAGCGAAUAGCAUCUCCUCCCACCUCCCACCAGAGACGUCCUGUUUGAGCUGUCAGGUGUAAUAUAUGAAUUGACUUAAGUUAAUAUAAAUGUGUACAUAAUCCACAUUUGUAGUCAAGGACGCAAUCUCUUCCACACAUGUGCAGUUGUCAGUUGGUACAUCUAAACUCCCUCCAUCCUGACUCACGUGGACUUAGAUAUGUUUUGUUUCUAUUUUCUUCUAUUUCAGUUUUUCAUUCUUUGAUGUUUAUUUCUUUUGUCCAUCAGAUCUCUUGUGAAAUCCCAUGGAAGGUUGUGCUCAGCCUGUCGGGUCUCUUUCUUCCUGCCCAUAUAUUAUACCAGUUGCUUCUGCAGCCCGCAGAUGCCAGCGAUGCCAGGAAACAAGUUGAAAUCCAGGAAUCUCUUUAACUGAUUUUGCUAAAAAUCUCCCUGUGAGCCUUCCACUCAACUCUUAAUAUGCUUGCAUUGUUUAAGUUUUUAAAUUCUGAAAAUUAAUAAUUAGGGUUUUUUUCAUAUGUGUUGCAUAAUGCAAACCUCCUAGGUUAAAAUAGUUUCUUUAUUUAAGAUAGAAUAAUUUCCAGAAAUUGUACUUUUGAGGUAUCAUUUUUAUCUGUAAUGGUUUGUCUGUCUUUUUUCCUCUGAUCAGUAUUUUUUUAUACCAGUUUUGGAGACUGGCUGAGAUGAAAGGAAAUGUGGAAUAAAAGGAGGUUUUCCUGAUGUGGUGUAAAGAAAACAGAUUCAAGAGAAUUGAAGAUUUUUUUUGUUUCUUGGUACUUUUUUCUUUUUAAAUUAGGACUAAUGUUUCUUUUGUGGUGCUUGAGGCAUAUUCAUAUAACCAAAGUUUGAGAACUGGGAACUUCAUGCUGAUUUGUACAUAUUGAAGUUUCUCUGGUAUUCAAAGGUUAUAUAGUGAAUGAAUUUUCAUUAAUAAAUCACUUUGUCAGAAACUCCCAUAUCAUCUAUAUUUUAUAUAUGUAUAUAUAAACGUAUGCUCUUUAAGUGUGUCUAUAUGUGAGCACAUAAAAUCUAAAUAAAAUUGGACUGGUGGGAAACAA